CAUGAAAGACAGAGAUAGAAUGUUGUAUUCCUGGAUCCGGGAGUCCUUGGAUGUGCCACACACUGGGUUAAGCACUUUAAACUAGCGACAUAGCUGGCCUUGCCUCCAUUUCUGCUGCUGCAUCCAGUUCCUGGCAGUUGCCUGCAGGGGGAUGCACAGGUGGAGACCAAAGUGAGAGUAGGCAUGAACUAUGUGAGUACAACCUUGGAUCUGACA